GUGUUUUUUGGACUCUUAAGUUGCUGUUUAUGUUUUACAAAAAGUUUAAAAGUGAUAAAGACGAGAGCUGUUUCUCAGUCUGCAUUCUUGUCUGUUCUUGUGAAACGUCAUCAGUCUAACCAAGCACAGUCAAAUACCCGGAUGUGUUCUUGCAUCGCGCGUCUUACCGAGCCUGCGGCGGUGGUGACUUGUGUGGAUUAUCCCAAAAAAUGCAUUUCGUCGCCAAAAAGUAGAAAUAUCAGAGGAGAAAACUCACAACUGACUCGACUUCUCUCCUCAGCAUGGAGACCACAGCAGAUCCAGGAAACCGGUUCACUCACCAGUGCAGCAGCUGCGACAACUCCUCGGCCAGAUGUUGGUGUCUGGACUGUAACGAAGCUCUGUGCGACGUCUGCGU